UGGUCAGACUUGUGAAUAUUGAUGUAAAAGAAUACAUGCUCCAUUAGAGAAGCGUACCAAAGUUGUACAUUAAAUUAAGGCAUUAAGCCAACCCCCCUCACACGUACAACAUCAUCUACUUUCUCUCUUAAAAACCACACUCUCUUCCUUUCUCAAUAUCCGCCUCAUCAGAACACAAACAUAUUUUCCCUCCCAAAUAUUUGUGCUCAAAAAACACACUUCUCAUCAAGACAUAGUUGAUAAACAUAUGGGCACUCUAGUGGGACAUGUGGCUCCAGGUUUUGGUUUCUUGUUGAUAGGUUUGUGGCACCUCUUUAACCACAUCAAGCUCCACGCCCUUAACCCAAAGUCCUACAAGGGCCCAUCAUGGUUCCCAAGUGCCAAGUUCAGAUACAUAGAGCUUGUGCUCAUCAUGGUUGGCUCCACAGCCUCCGUAGCCAUGGAACUCUUCAUAGGCCCUGAGCGGCACCAACCUCUUGACCCAGAUGGAACCAUUCCCUCCAACCAUCUCCACAACUUCGAGCACUCUUCAAUCUCCAUCACCUUCUUCCUCUACGCAGCAUGUGCCAUCAUCUUGGACCGGGCCCGAGUCCAGGCCCAAUUCGAACUAACCCAAUUGCUUGGGGCCAUAGCCUUUGCCCAACAACUGCUUCUCUUCCAUCUUCAUUCCGCGGACCACAUGGGCCCAGAAGGACAAUACCAUCUUUUGUUACAGAUUUUGGUCUUUGUUUCAGUCUCCACCGCCCUCAUUGGAAUUGUGCUCCCCCAUAGCUUCUUGGUCAACUUUGUUCGCUCCGUCAGCAUAUUCUUCCAGGGUUUGUGGCUUAUUGUGAUGGGCUUCAUGCUUUGGACACCUUCACUCAUACCCAAAGGUUGUUACAUGAACGACGAGGAUGGUCACAUGGUCGUUAGAUGCUCUUCUCACGAGGCACUUCACCGCGCUAUUUCACUUGUCAACAUCGAAUUCAGUUGGUUCAUUAUCGGUGUGACCGUUUUUGCGGUUUCUUUGUACUUGGUUUUGGUAAAAGUUUAUGGGGAGAAGAAGGUGGAGUAUUUUUCGUUGGGGAAUGAGGAUGAAGAGUCAAACGACGACGUUGAGUCACAAAAGAGCGGUGCCUUUGAUCACAGCAGCAAAAGCUUCAUUCAGGUGGGCAAAAUCUUUUCUCAAAAUGACAUGGAAAGGUAGAUAGAUAUGUAGAGAGUGCGUGAUGAAAGUAUGUUCAUGUUAAUUUGUGAUUAGUGGUUGGGUGUGUACAGGUGUCUUUUAAUUAGGAGUUAAAUUAAUUAAUUUAGUCAGCAACAAAGUAGUUGGCUAAAGGAAUGUUGUGCAUGUGGGUAGUUUUGUAAGGGAAUUAUUUUGAUUUGAUUGUGCUUGCUAGUUGGGGCAAGAGUGUUUGCUGUUGUUCAAAGUUGGCGAUGACGUACAGUUACAACGUGCUUUGCAUAGUCUUUUACUUUUUUAUUCACAAAUAUUAUUUGUUAAUUUUUAUUAAUGAAAAAAGUUAAAUCUACAACCUCUCACCUUCUCUUUUCACUAUCCAAAUAAUCUUAUAUUUUCAAUAAUGCGAUCUACUUCUAGCUAGCCAAUCUUCGAUCUACUUCUUCAUUUCAUGCAGAAAUCUCUAUUAGUUUCUCUCCAUGAAUGACCUGUUAUUUGCGUGAAAUUGUGUAUACAAUAUAAUUAAGAAGUGUAUGGAUAAAUUAAAAUAAUUCUAAAGGUUUAAACAUAUAUGAAGAAUUCUAUUUUCGGUUCUUUUCUUGCCACAAAUGCGCCAUCCCCCACCCCCGCAUGCGCCAAAUAAGGUAGGGGUUUAUAACGACUCUAAUUUACACAGUAACGCAGACUCAUCUUAUGUUAAAUAUAUAAACGCAAGGCUAUUUGUUUGUUAUCACUUAUCAUGUAUUAGAAACUGGGAUAAAUAAUAUUUCUUUAGGAAAAAUAGGAGCGUACCCUUAAGUUUGAGGGAAAACUAUACUCAUCCAUUCGCUAUAUCUUUUAUCUCAUUUUUUCUCUCUUCUGUUUUAGUCAGAUUACCUAUCACAUUCAUUAUUAAUCGUUUUCGAAUGUAGUAUAUAUAUGGGAUGUAUAAAAGAGAAAGAUAAAAGAAAAAAGUAAAACAAGAAAAAGGUGAUCAAUGUGUUGUAAAAGAGAGAUAAAAAAAAAAGAGAGAGGAGAAAGUGAAUGUAUUUUAAAUUUUAAGUUUUAAAUAUGAAUUUUCUUCAUUUGUAUUUAAGAUUAGUUAUUAUUCAUAUUUAAAUGAAGAUUUAUUUAAAAAAAAUAAAUCAUUAUAUUUAUUGUUCAAUUGAGUAAAUACAUCACAAACUAUUAAGAAUAUACCAAACAUUUUAAAAAAGGUAACUACUUUCGUGUUACUUUAAUUUACACUAGUUAUGUAUUAUUCAAUAUGUCUUAUACAUUAGACAAUUCAAUUUAAAUUUUUUAUUUUUGUAAUUAAAGUCUGAAGAAUUUUUAACAAAUUUGAUAUUUUUAUUUUUAUUUGAUUUUUAAUUUAAUAUUUUAUUAAAAUACCAUUUAAUCCUACCUAAAUUUACUUGUUCGUUGUCGUGUUUCUCCAUAACAACUUAAAGGUUGUUAUUACAUAAUAACCGUCUUUGAAUGUCGACCAGAUGUAACUAUCAAAGGCGGUUAUUACAUAAUAACCGUCUUUGAAUGUUACAUCUGACGGUUAUUAUGUAAUAACCGCCUUUGAUAGUUACAUGUCCUCGAGAUUCAAAGACGGUUAUUAUGUAAUAACCGUCUUUGAAUGUUGAACGAGACACUGCAUUCAAAGACGAUUAUUACAUAAUAACCGUCUUUGAAUUGUUCUAACUUUCAAAGACGGUUAUUAUAAUAAUCGUCAAAAAAAGAAAUUGUGUUUCAACGACGUUAUAUACAACGACGAUUUACAACUGUCGUUAAAAGCACUUAAUAACCGUCGUAAAAAGCCAUUUUUCUAGUAGUGAAAGAAAAUAGAAAACUUCCCUCCAGCAAGUGCAGGUAGCAGCGGAAGAAGAAGCAGCCCUUGGGCCUCACCCGAAUUCGAGUUGUGGAUGGUAAACCCCUCUUUAUAGUGUUAUUUGUGUCAGUAAUCCACCUAAUGCUCAUGCCAAUAUUGCUGGUAAGUUUUUUACUCUGCACAGACCAAGAAGGGCCAUGUAACUUCUCACUAGUCUCUCGUUCUAUUUAUCUAACUAUGGUAAUGGUACACACACGUGUCAUUAUUUAAUUAUCGCAACGAUCAAAUUUUCUUUGGUUGUUAUGGAGAACCACCGGCAACGAUCAACCAGAGCAAGACAUUGAAUUAGCUAGGGAUUGAGUUUGGAAGAGUAAGGCUUGAAUGGUCUUUUAAUAAAACAUUAAAUUAAAAAUUAAAAUAAAAAAAAAUUGUUAAAAUGUCCUGUAGAAAUAAAUAAAAAUUAAACUGAAGAAUUGUUUGAUGUGUCAAUGUAUGUCAUUUGACUUUAUAUGAUUAAACCAUCCAUAAUUCUGGUGAAGUAAUCGUCUUUAAAAAAAUACUAAGAAAGCCUAUUACCAUCAAAUAAAUAUAUCAGUUUUUGUUUUUGAUAUUAAGUAAGCAACUUGUAUUUGAAUAUCCAUAAAUUUUAAAUAUUUUAUCAAUCCAUCUUAUUUCUUUUUUCCUAUCACAUUACAUCAUCAAUCAAAUCAAUAAUUUAUUUUUCCUUUAUUUCUAUCUCUCUCAUGGUGUUGAUACUAAGAGGGUGUACAAAAUAUUUUUCUAAGCAAAAAUAUCAAGAUCCACAAGGAUCAAGAAAUAAUAAAAUAAAGUUGGAGUAAUAUCUAACCAAAUAUAGGAGUGUGUAAAAGAAUUGAUUCAGAUUGAAUCAAAUUAUAAUCAAAUUUAAAUUGAAUUGAUUUUUUUUAAAAUUAGUUUAAGAAAAAAAGAAGACACUAUUUUAUAAAAUCAAUUUGGUUAAUUGAAUUAUCUUUACAAAAUUAUUUCAGUUAACCGAAUUGAUUUUUAUUUAAAUAUUUUUUUUAAUUAGAAAAAUAAUUUUAAAACUAGUUUGAAAAUAAGUUUAAAAUUAACUUAAUUCUUAAAACCAGUUUAAAAAUCAUUAAAAAUUAAUUAAGUUCAGAACCAUUUUUUAAAAAUUAGUUCGAUUUUGAAUUAGUUUUAUAAUCAAAUUGAUUAUUUAAAUAUAAAAUCAAACCAAUUAAAACAUUUCAAAAUCAAUUCACUUUAAUUUUUUUACCGAAUUAGUUUUUAUACUCCCUGACCAAACACCCUAAUUAGCAAAGGUCCAAGUCCUUACCAUUUUUAUAUUACUCCCACUUGUUGAUUUUUAUCUAAUAUGUGGUGCUUAAGAAAUGUUUGGCAUAAUUAGCUGGCCAAAGAAUCUUCCCUAACAUUAAAUAAAGCCAUAAGUAAAACUAUCAUCAAGCCAAGAGACAUAAAGAAAUUUGUCUGUAUGAGUAGAGCUGUCUUAUGAAAAAUCCUCAUCGACUUCCUUAAUGCACGGUCAUAUUAUAUAUAUAUACGUCGCUCAAAAAGAAUAAAGCAUAUAUAUGCCCAUCUCGCAAGCAAAACCGAAACCCUCCUUAGCAGCAAUCACCUCUCCUACAUGUGAGCAUUCAUGUCCCCACUUAAUUUGACGGACUUAUGAAGCUCUCGCAUCCUAUUUCCUUUAAUUUCACCAUAUAUCCCCACACCACACGGCCAACAACAUUCCUCUUUGCAUUAAUUAAGGAAAUUACAGAAAGAAAUAGAACACAUGCGUACAAAAUGAUUGCAUCCAAUGUUACGGGAACUGCUGCACACCCCACUAAAAUACUAUCCUAUUUGAUUCCCAACCACUUGAAGAGAUGAUGAGAACACGAGGAGUACAAACGACAUGCUUGCAAGCUAACCCUCCAAAAAAUACUUGCUUAUUUAUAGAGAUUUUGGAUUUGCAAGUAGACCCACCCCUUUGACAACGAGGCUUGGAAAAUACUUGCUUAUAUAUACGACAAUUAAUAUUGCAUUCUCGUGUCACAAAAUCAGUUGGCAAAAACCACAACCAAAAUUAACUGAAAAAAACCAUAGACUUGAAAUAAUUGCUUUUGUUAGCUGCUGCAUGCAUGCAUGUACUCACUUGCAUAUACACAUGUGCAUCAUUUCUAUAGCCCCCAAAAAUCUUCUAAACAAAAUAGACUCUCACGGCCACUGGACAAUAAAGGAAAAGCAUCAACACCUCGAAUUUUCUUCGCAGUUUCGAAUUGUCAAGUACAAGUGUCGUAAAAAAUCCAAAGAAAAACACGGAAAAAAAAAGAGCAGCCAGAUUGUUCAAUUCUAUUCAGAUUUUCUUUCUUCUUAACUAUAUAUGCCACAAUCUUUUUAAUUUUUUUUCUUGGAUAAUCCAAAAAAAUAUGUUUAAAAGCUAAUUAAGAACACAAUGCGCAAGAAAUGCUCUCUUAAUUAGCAUAAGACAGAAGUACAUACAACGUGAAUGAAAAGAAAAACAAUUGUACAGGGUAGCGGGUACCCCUCCCACGCCACAAUCUAGUUAGGAGGCAAAAUAAAGAAUAUUAAACAGCUACUGAUGAUCAUACUUACCUGGCUUAUUUACAAUGACAGAUCAUACAUUAAGGAAGAAAAAACUACUUAAGAUAAUAACAAACACACCAUGCCACCACAAACAUUGUUUUCAAUUGCGAGUUCAUAAAAUUAUAAAAAAAAUCAUUUUGCUUUUACGAUUUCAUCAGUAGUGUUAAAUAGGCGAAACUACAAAUAACAACAAAUGUAAUGGUCAUAUUAACACAUAUAUAGUGCAAAUAGCGUCAACAUAUGAAACACUACAAGUAACAACAAAUUUAAUGAAAUAUGGUUCGAUCUUAAAAAUUGAUUUUGUUAGUCUUACAAACUAUGACAAAUGAACUAAGCUGAACCUAGAGCCUGUUUUGAAAGGGAAAAAACAAACGUUGCCUUUUAAAUAGAGGGAAAAUGACAAAUUGUCCAAACCUCUUUAUUUAAUUACUUAUUUAUCUAAUGUUAUGCGUUUACCAAGAAUUAAACGCAUUAAAAAUCACAAAGAAUUCAUGGUGUGCCGUGUUACAGAAAGGUAGCUGUAGCACUACCUCAACUCUCAAUUCUCAUUCAUCAUUCUAGGGUCAUAUAUAUGGCAGACACUAAAUAAAAGCUAAGUUUUUCUUUUUUUACCAUCUAAUAAAUGCGGACAUAUUUAUAUACUUUUCUUAUGACUAAGUUUUGCCCUAAAAUCUAGCUGAUUAUUUUAGCAUAGUUGUUCUUUUUAAUCAUAUUUUUUCUAUUUAUAAAAAUUUUAUUUUAUUUCAGAAAUUUGAACUCAGAUUGGGCCACUGUAAUGUUCAUAUAUAUAUAAAAGCUAAGCUUACAAGUGAAGGUGAAUCCUCCAAAGUUGGACUUUAAAGCGAAGCCAACUCCUCAGUUCUCUCACUACACCUGCAGACCAUCAACUUACCCUCUUAAAAACAGUCCUCUCUCUUUUUUCUCUCUCUCUCUUUUUUUUUUUUUGUAUGGACAAAUAGUUUUGCUAAAAAUAUUAGUGGAAGGAAUUCCAAUGUGUGAUCUCUCCUUCCUCCUUUCUUACUUUACCCUUAAAUCCCCUUCACAACCAUCACACCAACCUUAUAUCUCCCUCUUCCUUUCUCUUUCUGCCUCAUAAACACCAACAUACUAUCCCUCCCAAAUCUUUGUGCUCAGAAAACACACUUCUCAUUAAGAUCAUAAAUACAUACAUAGUUGAUAAACAUAUGGGCAAUCUAGUGGGACAUGUAGCUCCAGGUUUUGGUUUCUUGUUGAUAGGUUUGUGGCACCUCUUCAACCACAUCAAGCUCCAUGCCCUUAGCCCAAAGUCCUACAAGGGCCCAUCGUGGUUCCCAAGUGCCAAGUUCAGAUACAUAGAGCUUGUGCUCAUCAUGGUUGGCUCCACAGCCUCCGUAGCCACGGAAUUCUUCAUAGGCCCUGAGCGGCACCAACCUCUUGACCCAGAUGGAACCAUUCCCUCCAACCAUCUCCACAACUUCGAGCACUCUUCAAUCUCCAUCACCUUCUUCCUCUAUGCAGCAUGUGCAAUCAUCUUG
rnacentral:lncRNA from 1 species